rnacentral:rRNA from 1 species
ACACAUGCAGUCGAGCGGGGAAGGUAGCUUGCUACCUAACCUAGCGGCGGACGGGUGAGUAAUGCUUAGGAAUCUGCCUAUUAGCGGGGGACAACAUUCCGAAAGGAAUGCUAAUACCGCAUACGCCCUACGGGGGAAAGCAGGGGAUCUUCGGACCUUGCGCUAAUAGAUGAGCCUAAGUCAGAUUAGCUAGUUGGUGGGGUAAAGGCCUACCAAGGCGACGAUCUGUAGCGGGUCUGAGAGGAUGAUCCGCCACACUGGGACUGAGACACGGCCCAGACUCCUACGGGAGGCAGCAGUGGGGAAUAUUGGACAAUGGGCGAAAGCCUGAUCCAGCCAUGCCGCGUGUGUGAAGAAGGCCUUUUGGUUGUAAAGCACUUUAAGCGAGGAGGAGGCUACUUAGAUUAAUACUCUAGGAUAGUGGACGUUACUCGCAGAAUAAGCACCGGCUAACUCUGUGCCAGCAGCCGCGGUAAUACAGAGGGUGCGAGCGUUAAUCGGAUUUACUGGGCGUAAAGCGUGCGUAGGCGGCUUUUUAAGUCGGAUGUGAAAUCCCUGAGCUUAACUUAGGAAUUGCAUUCGAUACUGGGAAGCUAGAGUAUGGGAGAGGAUGGUAGAAUUCCAGGUGUAGCGGUGAAAUGCGUAGAGAUCUGGAGGAAUACCGAUGGCGAAGGCAGCCAUCUGGCCUAAUACUGACGCUGAGGUACGAAAGCAUGGGGAGCAAACAGGAUUAGAUACCCUGGUAGUCCAUGCCGUAAACGAUGUCUACUAGCCGUUGGGGCCUUUGACGCUUUAGUGGCGCAGCUAACGCGAUAAGUAGACCGCCUGGGGAGUACGGUCGCAAGACUAAAACUC